GAUGGUGGCUUUAGCAAGGGUGUCCACCUCUUCCCAUCCCGAACAGAGAAGUUAAGCCCCUUAGCGCCGAUGAUACUGCAGUAAAAUGCGGGAAAGUAGGUCGCCGCCACUU
rnacentral:rRNA from 1 species